rnacentral:rRNA from 1 species
GACGGAGGGUGCAAGCGUUGUUCGGAUUGACUGGGCGUAAAGGGCGUGUAGGCGGUCGGCCAAGUCUGCUGUGAAAGCCCGAGGCUCAGCCUCGGAAGUGCGUCGGAAACUAGUCGGCUGGAGCGCGAUAGAGGAGGGUGGAAUUCCUGGUGUAGCGGUGAAAUGCGUAGAUAUCAGGAGGAACACCGGCGGCGAAGGCGGCCCUCUGGAUCGUUGCUGACGCUGAGACGCGAAAGCGUGGGGAGCAAACAGG